rnacentral:tRNA from 1 species
GCCGUGGUGGUGGAAUAGGCAGACACGCUAUCUUGAGGGGGUAGUGGACGCGCGUCCGUGCUGGUUCGAGUCCAGUCCACGGCACCA